rnacentral:lncRNA from 1 species
UAUAUUCUCUGAAUUGUGUUUGAUCAAUUUGCGGCUUUUUCGGAUUGUGUGUGAUCAAUCCGAAUGACAAACCAUUAAAAGCAUCGUUUGUGACCUCUAUCGAGUCUCAUAACAGCUUGGUUUUGUAUGUAAGAGCAAUGUCGUAUUCUGCUCAUUUGAGUUUUGACGUACUCAAUGCCUAAGGCGAAUCUUUGCUUGGUAUCUGUGGAACCUUUCAUUGGAAAUGAUUAACCCACAUAUUUUGACCCUAAGGCUAACAAAAACCUAUGCUGAGAUUUAAAGUCUCUCGCGCUCAAGUCUUUGACGCGCCACAUUGACAAAAACCUUCAACGACAAUCUGUGCAAAAAGUAAUUACCACAAAGUACUGUGGAAUGCACUUAUAAAGUGUUUCUUGAAACGUCGCUUUAACUAGUCAAGUGGAUUGUUUACCACCUUUUUUUUUACUACACAUUGUCGGUGAAAUUUUGUGGCAUCAUGAUCCAUAAUCUUUAACGGAUUCGAUCAUCAUCAACCCCUCUAGGUCCUCAAAGUUGGUUUGGAAUUACUAACGAUGCUUGAUUUUGAUCAUUAUGAUGCAAACGGGAAUUGUAUAAACGCUAAUAAGAUAACAUGAAAACAAUAUUGGUCACGGUAACGACAGAAAAAGCCACACCGUUGUCUAGAAAAGACGGGGAGGUGCCACCGGCCUUAAUGGCAACACUCCCGAUCUAGACACCAAUCUGUCAAAACUACUCAUGCUAGCUCCGAACAAUGCAACCGUGUAGAUCUCCAGAUCACUGGUUGAGGAGUUGUCAAGCUCAUCCUCAAAUUGUGAAUGCAUACAAAAAUGUACGAAAAAUCAAUAUGAGGACAAUAAUGCUAUCCUUAUGAUCGCGGAUUUCAAAUAUUUGGAUCCAUCUCUAGAUGCCCCUGACUUUGAUAUUAUCGGCUAGACAUUGAUUUUCUUUCCAAGCUAUAUCUAAUAAGACGUCGUAUUGAUGUCCUUAAUUAGCUUAUUCGAGACCUCGAUGUAUUGACAUCAGCAAUAAUGAAUGUCUUGAGAUUUUUUUGAAGUUAUGAAACUAUUCUCCUCUUAUGGUUCGUAUUGAUUUACAAUCAAGAUAUACACUUACAUCGUCCUUAGAGACAUGACAUAUUGUGCCGAUUUUGGUCCCUUCCUUUGAAGGUGACACACAGCACCGAAUCCUCAAGGAGGAUCGCCCACGUGUUUUCGGUUAAGUCUUUUACCCUAUAUAGGAUUUUUCAUCAUCAAUUGUUCAACUAGGCUCAUCCAAGCUUAGUGUGAUGUCAUAGAAUUGUCCGAAAUUAAGGAGAUAGUGGUUUCAAAUGUGUCUCACACUACCGACCCUCAACGGACAUGUUUGGUCAUGCUGACUUGGAGUUACCAAAAUCUUUUGAUUUUGGAUCCCCCUACGCUAUUAAGCCAAUUGCCGUCUUGUAAAAGACGUUGAAGACUUAUCAAAACAGGACAAUCAUCAUCAUGAUCGAAUCCUCUAGGUCCUUUGAGUUAGUUUAUGUUCAUGUCAAGGAGCUUUUGCUAACUAGUCAUAGAGUUUACGACCUUGGAAUGACCGAAAGAACUUGAUUUUGAUCAUAUACAUGUCAUUUUGGCUUCGACUUAUGCCCACAUUGACACGACCCACCCUGAAUUUCACCCUGAAACCCGGAGUAAGUCGUGCGGGGACCACCUCCAAGGAAAAUUUAAUGAAAAGAUUUAAGAAAAUCUCCCUUGCAGAUAGACAACCCUAACUCGAAAAUUCCAAAUUACACUCUUAAAUCAACACUUCCAAACAUCACAUAAUUAUCCUUCAGAAAUUCUACACAUAAUAUACAAUAAUCCCAAAGUAUUCAGAGCUACUAAACACAAGCGGAAGCAAGAAAACACGAGUAGGUUGAACAAGUAACCUACUGACGAAAACUGGCAGAAAUGCGGGUGACUAUGCCUCGCCUCCUACUAGAUCCAACCCGAACUCUGCAGACUGGGCAAUUUAAACGAAGGGCCCAGGGGAAAACAUUUAAUAACGUUAGAGUGAGUGGACAAAAAUAAAAUAAUAAAUNNNNNNNNNNNNNNNNNNNNUCAUAAAAUAUCGAGCCUCUCAGACUCUAUAAUAUAUGUAUGUAUUUACACUCGUCCAUACUCCCUAUAUAAAUUCAUGGGUCUAUAUAGGGCUACUACGCUCGCGUCCAACGCUCACGUCACGCCUUAAUGCGGUGCUUCACUACGCCAUCAAGGUGGACAGACGAGUGUAUAAAUAUGUGUCCAUACCCCCUAUAUGAAUUAAACACUCAAAUAGGGCUACUACGCUUACGUCCAACGCUCACGUCACACCAUAAUGCGGCUAUAUGCUACGCCAUUAAGGUGGACAGACACAUAUGGCUAGCUAGCAUUUAUAUACAUACUCUCUCAUAAAUACAUAUUUAUAUCCACCGAAAAUCCCAUUUUCGGUAACUCUCCAAGAGAAAUAAAAAUCGUCAAAUUUAAAAUGACGUUAAAAUAUUCCGCAACAUUAAUUGUUCAACCAUGAACUAUAGCAUGCAUUUAUUUAAAAUAAACGUCCACUCACAAAUUAGGCCUAAGCCUGAUGUCGAUCUGGGGCCUCGUCUACUCGAGCCUCCUCACGUCUUGUUCCAAUAUAAUAUUAAUUUCCCGACCAAAAAUCCAAUAUUUAAUCAAAAUAGGCAAAAUUACCCGAGAGCCAUAAAUACGCUCAUCAUUGCCUAACUUCGAUAUUCUUAAAUUGGAACAAUCCGAACUUAAAUAUCAUACUCAACAGUCGUAAAUACAACCUCCCCAAAAUACGACUUAAAUCCUACGGCCGGAUUCUGCAUUAAUUAACCGCCAAAAAUACCAAACUUCGGAAAUUCACGAACCUAUCCAAAUCUCAUCCAAAAAUUUCAUAAAUCACAUCAAUAUACUCCUCUUAAUAUUCCACACUUAAAACCCUAAAAAUCUCCUAACCGGCAGCGGCGGCCGGAGGCCAAUUCUGGCGACCUCCAAAACCUAUGAAAUUUUGACAGAAUAAUCCUCUCAUCAUGCUCUACAACUUUCCUAACUAGCACAAACACCAAUUCCAAGCCUAACUAGGGCAAUCGACUAAAAACAUCAAAAACACCAUAAAACUUCCACCUCAAAUUUCUCCUUACCUAGCUCAAGAGGGAGUGAGUCCUUUUAGGGCAAGGCUGCUGGAUUGGAGUGAGUCCUCUUGAGCUAGGUAAGGAGAAAUUUGAGGUGGAAGUUUUAUGGUGUUUUUGAUGUUUUUAGUCGAUUGCCCUAGUUAGGCUUGGAAUUGGUGUUUGUGCUAGUUAGGAAAGUUGUAGAGCAUGAUGAGAGAAUUAUUCUGUCAAAAUUUCAUAGGUUUUGGAGGUCGCCGGAAUUGGUCUCCGGCCGCCGCUGCCCGCGGAGCCGCCGCCGGUUAGGAGAUUUUUAGGGUUUUAAGUGUGGAAUAUUAAGAGUAGUAUAUUGAUGUGAUUUAUGGAAUUUUUGGAUGAGAUUUGGAUAGGUUCGUGAAUUUCCGAAGUUUGGUAUUUUUGGCGGUUAAUUAAUGCAGAAUCCGGCCGUAGGAUUUAAGUCGUAUUUUGGGGAGGUUGUAUUUACGACUGUUGAGUAUGAUAUUUAAGUUCGGAUUGUUCCGAUUUAAGAAUAUCGAAGUUAGGCAAUGAUGAGUGUAUUUAUGGCUCUCGGGUAAUUUUGCCUAUUUUGAUUAAAUAUUGGAUUUUUGGUUGGGAAAUUAAUAUUAUAUUGGAACAGGACGUGAGGAGGCUCGAGCAGACGAGACCCCAGAUCGACAUCAGGCUUAGGCCUAAUUUGUGAGUGGACGUUUAUUUUAAAUAAAUGCAUUGAACAAUUAAUGUUGUGAGUGGAAUAUUUGUCACAUCCCAUGACCCAUUUCGCCGUAACACGAUAUUGUUCGCUUUGGGCCCACCGGGCCUCACGGUUUUGUUUCCGGCAGCUUCCCAGUAGGUCACCCAUCCUAGGAUUGCUCUAGCAUCAACAUGCUUAACCUCGGAGUACCCAUCCCCUCCGAAGCCGCUGAGCCACCAAAAGGCCUCGUGUUAGAUUGGAGGUGGGCAUGUACAUAUACAGCACAUAACCCCUCUCCGUUUGGCCGAUGUGGGAUAUUACAAUCCACCCCCCUUGGGAGUCCGACGCCCUCGUCGGCACACUCGCACCACACGGCAGAGUGGCUCUGAUACCAUUUGUCACAACCCAGGACCCAUUCCGCCGUAACACGAUAUUGUUCGCUUUGGGCCCACCGGCCCUUACGGUUUUGUUUCCAGCAGCUCAGGAGCAGUUUCCCAGUAGGUCACCCAUCCUAGGAUUGCUCUAGCAUCAACAUGCUUAACCUCGGAGUACCCAUCCCUUCCGAAGCCGUUGAGCCACCAAAAGGCCUCGUGUUAGAUUGGAGGUGGGCAUGUACAUAUACAGCACAUAACCCCUCUCCGUUUGGCCGAUGUGGGAUAUUACACACAUGCCAUCUGCAAGCUUCAUUGCUUUGCAUAUGCCAAAUCUGCCAAAAACACAGCAAUCUGUUCCUUCUAGACAGCCAACUUCGUUUGAGCUUUGUGAACAUCUCCAGACAAUCUAGAACGUGAGCCACAUAUCAUUGGAAAGCUCUAUGUGUCUAGUUUUCAGAACUUUUUGCAGUUCGUCCAUAUCUAUUUUAACGAAGAAGUUAUGGAUGUUUUAGUGCGCAAAGGUCAUGCUGCACGGAAAUUUUUAUGCACUCUCGGGAUUGCAGCUUUUCGUAGCUUCUUUCAAUCCUUUUAAAUGGUUCAAGUGGAACUAUUUACUCACCUAUCUACUCCUUUUUGUAGAUAUAUCUCAUAGAGACAUUAAGUGCCUCGCAGAUAGUGGAACAAUCCACAAAAUUCUAAGGAACCGGCAACUAUCUUUGGAUUUUGUGCCUUUAUAAAUCUUUUGUAACUACAAUAAUUGAAUCAUACCGGUCAUUUUGGGACACGGUUUAGCUUGCAUCUUGAUGCCUUAUGACUCCAUGAUCAAUGUCACAGAUGCCCUCUGACACGACCCACCCCGAAUUUCACCCUGAAACCCAGAGUAAGUCGUGCGGGGACCACCUCCAAGGAAAAUUUACUGAAAAGAUUAAGAAAAUCUCCCUUGCAGAUGGACAACCCUAACUCGAAAAUUUCAUAUUACACUCUUAAUUUAACGCUUCUGAAUAUCACAUAAUAUACAAAAUUCUAAAGUAUUCAGAGCUACUAAACACAAGCGGAAGCAAGAAAACACAAGUAGGUUGAACAGGUAACCUACUGAUGAAAACUGGCCGAAAAGCGGGUGACUAUGCCUCGUCUCCUACUAGAUGCAACCCGAACUCUGCAGACUGGGCAAUUUAAAACGAAGGGCCCAGGGGAAAACAUUUAAUAACGUUAGAGUGAGUGGACAAAAAUAAAUUAAUAAUUAAAAUAUUUAUGUUUCCCCAAAUUAAUUUCUAAAGGAAAAAUCGAAUGCAUGCC